rnacentral:rRNA from 1 species
GACGAACGCUGGCGGCGUGCUUAACACAUGCAAGUCGAACGAGUGGCGAACGGGUGAGUAAUGUCUGGGAAACUGCCCGAUGGAGGGGGAUAACUACUGGAAACGGUAGCUAAUACCGCAUACCAUCGGAUGUGCCCAGAUGGGAUUAGCUAGUAGGUGGGGUAACGGCUCACCUAGGCGACGAUCCCUAGCUGGUCUGAGAGGAUGACCAGCCACACUGGAACUGAGACACGGUCCAGACUCCUACGGGAGGCAGCAGUGGGGAAUAUUGCACAAUGGGCGCAAGCCUGAUGCAGCCAUGCCGCGUGUAUGAAGAAGGCCUUCGGGUUGUAAAGUACUUUCAGCGAGGAGGCGUUACUCGCAGAAGAAGCACCGGCUAACUCCGUGCCAGCAGCCGCGGUAAUAC